AUUUUACCUAAUCGGGACUGUCUUUUUGCUUAAUUUAAAUUAAAUGUUGUUUCUAAAGGAACUUUUAAUUAAUUGCAAAAAGACAGUCCCGAUUAGGUAAAAUNAUUCUAAAGAUAAAUCAAUCUCUUCAUCCCAAAGCUCCUCAAGGGAUUUGUAAGGACCUUCAUCGGAGAUGAAUUCAAGACCAGGAAACCCUUUGCGUUGUGGAAUUUGAUUGAUCUUUUGCAAAUCAUCUUGGCUUAGUUUCCACUCAAAUAUGUCAAGGUUUUCUUUCAUCCUCUCUUCG
rnacentral:misc_RNA from 1 species